AGCAAUAUAAUGCUUCAGUUGCAAAUAAAUUUCCAUCCCAUGUUCCUCAAGGUAAACACCUGUGAUUCCGAAGAGGUCAUUGCGGUUAGCUGUACAAACUGAUUUGUUGUUACCGUACCUCAAUCUAGUAAAUAGUACUCCCUCCGUUCCAAAAUAGUAUUCAUUUUAGUUCUUGAUUUUUAUGUCUAUAUUCAACUAGAUGUUGAUGAAUGUAGACACAUAUAUAGAAUACAUACACCAAAUAUUGUAUGAAUCUAUUAAAAAGUCAAAAUGAAUUUUAUUUUGGGACUGAGGGAGUAUACAAAUACUUUUGUUGGAUUCAGUGACAAGCUGCAUCCAUAUAAUAGUAUUUCAGCGAAACAAACCAUUUUUUGGAGAAUGUAGUUAACUGACGUGCUGUUGCUGACAACAUUAUUCUAAAAACACUGAUUUGUUAUAUGGAUGGUUGCGAAUAACAUUAUUGUCAAAAUGGUUUGUUUGGCUGAAAUUUUAUUUCACGGAUGCAUGUUCCACUGAAAUAAACUGAUAUAUUAUGCAUCCUGUAUGAACUGAUGUGUUGUUGCUGAUAACAUGUUAAGAAGUGGAACAAUUUUGCAACUCUGAACAGGCAGUUUACGUUAGCUGUUAUAAACUGAUGUGUUGUUAGUUGUUACUGUACCUCAGCCCAAUUAUCUUCUGUUUUUCUUCAUUAACGUUCUGUUAUUUUGGAGAACGGAUACCUGGCAUAUAUACUAGACUUGCUUUAUGCAUGCUGAUUGCUGACAGGUGCUGCUGCAA
rnacentral:lncRNA from 1 species